CCGGCUCAUUUCGUCUCACGUCUAGGGUACUGACAUUGAAUGAGUUGUCAUGCAGACCAUUUAAUUUCGUACCCUGGACGUUAUGCGAAUGCUCCUGCUU
rnacentral:pre_miRNA from 1 species